AUUUCCCUAGUAUCAACGAGUACGGUUGACUUCCAAUCAACUAGUUCUGGUCCACCCCAGAGAGAAAUA
rnacentral:tRNA from 1 species